GCCGGGCAUGGUGACGUAUGCCUGUAGUCCCAGCUACUCGGGAGGCUGAGGCAGGAGAAUUGCUUGAACCCAGGAGGCGGAGGUGGCAGUGAGUUGAGAUGGCGCCACUGCACUCCAGCCUGGGCAACAGAGCGAGACUCUGUCUCAA
rnacentral:SRP_RNA from 1 species